UUUUCCGGUUGAUCCCGCCGGACCCGACUGCUAUUUGGGUGAGGAUAAGCCAUGCAAGUUGAAUGGGAUACCUAAAGUUCCCAUAGCAAACUGCUCAGUAACACAUGAUCAACUUGCCCUGUGGAGAAAAAUAAUCUCGGGAAAGUAUCAUAAGUCUGAGAGAAAAAAAUAAUUUUCAAUGACUAUGAUGCCCCGAAACUGAGGAUAAUGUUUCAUAGUUGAAUAGGCUUGGAAAAGUUUUUCAAUUAAAGGGAUAAGAAAAAUGGUUCUUGUCUGCCAUAGGAUAGGAUCGUGGUCGAUUAUGGUUGUUGGUGAGGUAACGGCUCACCAAGCCGAUAAUCGAUAGGGGCCGUGAGAGCGGGAGCCCCGAGAUGGGUACUGAGACACCGACCCAGACCUUACGAGGUGCAGCAGGCGCGAGACCUCCGCAAUACACGAAAGUGUGACGGGGUUACCCAAAGUGUUCAUUAUUGAACUGUGAUAGGUGAGUAAUGUCCCCUAUUAGAAAGGAGAGGGCAAGGCUGGUGCCAGCCGCCGCGGUAAAACCAGCUCUUCAAGUGGUCGGGAUGAUUAUUGGGCUUAAAGUAUCCGUAGCCGGUUUAGUAAGUUCCUGGUAAAAUCGGGUAGCUUAACUAUCUGUAUGCUAGGAAUACUACUAUACUAGAGGGCGGGAGAGGUCUGAGGUACUACAGGGGUAGGGGUGAAAUCUUAUAAUCCUUGUAGGACCACCAGUGGCGAAGGCGUCAGACUGGAACGCGCCUGACGGUGAGGGACGAAAGCCAGGGGAGCGAACCGGAUUAGAUACCCGGGUAGUCCUGGCCGUAAACGAUGCAUACUAGGUGAUGGCAAGGCCAUGAGCCGUGUCAGUGCCGUAGGGAAACCGUUAAGUGUGCCGCCUGGGAGGUACGGUCGCAAGGCUAAAACUUAAAGGAAUUGGCGGGGGAGCACCACAAGGGGUGAAGCCUGCGGUUCAAUUGGAUUCAACGCCGGAAAUCACUAGU
rnacentral:rRNA from 1 species